rnacentral:rRNA from 1 species
CAGCGCCGCGGUAACACGAAGGGUGCAAGCGUUAAUCGGAAUUACUGGGCGUGAAGCGUGCGUAGGCGGUGAGUUAAGUCUGCUGUGAAAUCCCCGGGCUCAACCUGGGAAUGGCAAUGGAUACUGGCAAGCUAGAGUGUGUCAGAGGAUGGUGGAAUUCCCGGUGUAGCGGUGAAAUGCGUAGAGAUCGGGAGGAACAUCAGUGGCGAAGGCGGCCAUCUGGGACAACACUGACGCUGAGGCACGAAAGCGUGGGGAGCAAACAGGAUUAGAUACCCGGGUAGUCCCUGUCUCUUAUACA